rnacentral:lncRNA from 13 species
UGGCAUCAGCCAGUGUCCUCUCAUGAGGAAGAAUCAAUUUGCAAGGUAUUGAGUAAGUCCUUGGGCUCUGCGGAGGAGAGGUGACCACCCAUGAAAACAACUGACAUGAAAAGAACGCAAGAAUCACAUGUGUCCCUCCAGUCUGAAUAUAGACCAGCACAACUUGGGACUUGGACAACAAAAGCCUUGGACCACAAGGACUUCAGAUACCUGGAAAAACAUGGGGAGAGCAUGGGGCCAGCUGCUAGGCUGUGUAAAUCUAGAAGAUACCUAUUCCCUACUACCUUGUUUUGGUCUCAAGUGAUGUUUUGCUGCUCUGGAGCUGCACUCUCUAUUCAGUCACUUCCUAAUCUUCCUAAGCCCAGGUUGGGCUAGUAACCCCAGCAACUCUGGUUUUGUUGUGGUUGUCAGCAGGGAAGUGAAGAAUAAGCUGGAAAGCUGUUUUUUAGAUUCAAGUUCAGUUGUAAAUAACUGCUGCCGUACACAAAGAGUCACAUAAUAAUGGCAUGGGAUGAACUGAAUAUUGCACAAAGUGUGAAUAAGCCUUGAUUUUUUCAAAUAAUAGAACUGUUUAUUUAUAGUAAAAGCAGAUCAUGGAGAAACAGGAUACCCACAGGCCCCUCUCUCACUGUCAAUAGUAGCAGAGUUAUCCAUAGACAAGGCCUGAAACAGGUACAGCAUAAAGGCAGCAAGAGCUUGAGGUUCUGUGAUUCUGCCAUUAGGUGAAAACAAGUGCAUUCAGCAGCAAAUUGAUAGGGAAAAGACCAGCCCAGCAGAGGUUUUCUGUGGUGUAUCCUAUAAACUGAGGUCAUUUUCUAAGCCAUUUUCUACUCUCCCCACAUAAAGAUGGAUACUUGCACAAUGGUGAGUUAGCAGAGAAAAUUUGUUUGCCGUUGCACUUCUUGUGAUGCAACUUUCUCUUUUUUUCCUUAACCAGCUUCUCUGAGAUUCUGACACAAUUAUAGUUCUGUUACAAAAAUUAGGAAAAUACUGAAAAAUCUAUAGGAUUGUUCUUCUAAGCAGGUAAGUCUAUUUCCCUCUUUUGUCAUGCAGGAAUGUUGCCUCCCAAAUUA